CCUGGAGAGGAUCAAGGUCUGGCUUCAUCAGAAAGUGAGCUCUUCCACCACGGGGCCCGUGAAAGCAGUCACUCCAUCCUGUCUGUGGAAAGGGGCCCGGUGUCAAGUCCAGAAGUGUCUGCCUUGCCAAGCUGGCUCUGCUGGAUGUCAUCAUCACUACCAUCAUGUGACCAGUGACAACGGGCUUAGGUGCAGAGGGGAACUAGAGUGGGACUGGCUGUGGGCUCUGGUGGAGGAGCUGACAGUCACCGGGCCACAAGGAAGCGGGAGCCUGGGAGGCCCUGUGUUACUGAACCAAACCUGGGCCCACACGCCUGAGUGCAAUAAAGCCAAUCUACAACGCCAGGUUGUGGUGAAGGAACGGGAAGUGAUGCUUACAAAAGCACCGCUACAUGGAGGACAGCUAACUCGUGCUCCAAACCCCGGACUCCCUGAGGGGCUUCAGCAAAGCAGCUUACAGGCCGCCUGAGGGAGGGGGUCACAGAGUUUGUGAUCCGCUGGUGCACGGUUCUCUGGUUGGUGAGGGAACAGGCGGCUAACCUCACAAAUCCUCAGGCACUGGAUGUUGGGGUCCUUUAAUGGACCGGGACCUGGUGGUCCGGAGGCGAUGAUAAGAAAGUGAAAGAGAGAAAGAAGCUGAUACUCUCUGGUUUAUGCAGAAAACCAAUAAAGUCCUUGAUAGAGGACUUGCAUGUCUCAUGAAGGCACCUGGCGCCUUCUCGAGAGAGUCUUAGAAGCCCGGGCAGCAGAGUGAGCAAGACGGGUCUCUGCACUCCAAGGAAUCAGCCUAAGAGAGAGAGAGAAAGAGAAUGAGAGAAAGAAAGAGAGAAAGAAAGACACGGGGACCCAAGCUCUGAUGGAGCAGAGGUGCUUUAAUGAAUUUUCUGUUCUCUUCCCAUAUAAGUUAUUACGGAGUGUUGAGGAGGGUUCCAUGUGCUGUGCAGUGGGUCCUUGUGGAUGAUUUUAUAAAGAGUAGUGUGUGUACGUCAAUCUGAACCAGCUCAUUUCUCCCUGCCCUCGUC
ensembl:lncRNA